rnacentral:lncRNA from 1 species
GUGCAGUGUGUGGCGAUUGAUGGUGACAGAGUGUGACAAUUUGGUGACUGCUCCCCCUCAAAACAGACUUCAAACUUUCUAAAGACCAAGGUGAGUGCCAUACCAUAAGGCAAGUGAGCCUUAGACCUAUUCAGGGUCUCCCUCAUGGCCUCAAACAUCAAAGCAGGAAGGUUCAAAGAGGUCUGGGUGAUCACAUGGUACAUGAUGCAAAUAUCCCUACC